rnacentral:rRNA from 1 species
AAGCUCGUAGUUGAAUUUCGGGGUCAGUAGGUUGGUCGUGCCACCGGUACGUACUGGUCUCACUGAUUCCUCCUUCCUGAUGAGCUGUAAUGCCAUUAAUUUGGUGUUGCAGGGAAUCUGGACUGUUACUUUGAAAAAAUUAGAGUGUUUAAAGCAGGCUAACGCUUGAAUACAUUAGCAUGGAAUAAUGAAAUAGGGCGUUCGAUCCUAUUUUGUUGGUUUCUAGGAUUGACGUAAUGAUUAAUAGGGAUAGUUGGG